rnacentral:rRNA from 1 species
CCGCCGUCUGCUAAAGAGGAGGAAGGAAUGGGCAACGGUAGGUCAGCAUGCCCCGAAUUAUCUGGGCUACACGCGGGCUACAAUGGGUGGGACAAUGGGUAUCGACACCGAAAGGUGAAGGCAAUCUCCUAAACCCAUCCGUAGUUCGGAUUGUGGGCUGCAACUCGCCCACAUGAAGCUGGAAUCUGUAGUAAUCGUGUCUCAAAAUGGCACGGUGAAUAUGUCCCUGCUCCUU